CCGCGCAAGUCUGGGGAGAGUCAGUCCUUCCGGAGCCUCAGAACAACCUGGGCCUGGGCCGUGCGCUGCCUGGUCAUUCUUCCAGAGGCGACUGGGUCUCAGCAAAACAAGCUCCAUCAUCACGUUAAGUUGAUGUUAACAUAUGUAGUUAUUUGACCUGUGAAUUCGCUGUCUAUACCUGUAUGAGAUCUAUAAACACUAGGAAUUUAUGCCUCAUGUCGUUUAAGUAAUAUCAUAAUAGAUAAUUUAAUCCACACGUAUCUGACCCUUUAGCCAAACUUUGAGAAUUACUAUACUAGUUGGUGAUGGUAAUUCUAGGCAGAGGAGCCGCAUUCCUGCUUUAGAAAGAUCGCUGUGAUGGUUGUACGGAGGCAGGGAGACUGGAGGAGGGAGGCUCUGACAGUGCUCCUGUCAGGAGAGGAUGGGGCACUGAACUGGGAUAGGGUCUGUGGGGGACUGGAAUUGGCCACCCCGAGAUACCUCUCUUUGGCAUGAGGAUUAUUUGGGGCUGGUUACUUUUUUUUUUUUUUUUUAAGAUUGGCACCUGGGCUAACAGCUGUUGCCAAUCUUUUUUUUUUUCCUGCUUUAUCUCCCCACCCCCCACACAGUUGUAUAUCUUAGUUGCAGGUCCUUCUAGUUGUGGCAUGUGGGACACCGCCGCAAGGUGGCCUGACGAGCGGUGCCAUGUCUACGCCCAAGAUCUGAACCCUGGGCCGCCGCAGCGGAGCGCACGAACUUAACCACUUGGCCACGGCCGCUGCGCGGACUUCACCACUCGGCCACGGAGCCGGCCCCUGGGCUGGUUACUUUUAAAAACUGCAGACCUGAGAGAAACUCUUGAGAAGCAGGAGUAACCCUUUGUUAAGAGAUAUUUACAUUUGUAAAGGAAAUCUCCAUCUGUAAAGGCGUCUCCCUCUCUGAACCAGGAAGAAGGGGGGAUGACCUUAUCUCUAGAAACUCUCAUCAAUGUGGAAGGAUACUAGGGAAGGAAAGGAGGAAACGUUCAACUAGUGUGGGAAAACUUGCUGAUUGAGUAGGAUCCAAAGUCAGACCGCCCUGUGGGGAGAAGGAGCAUCAGCCAGGGUAAUUUUUUAAGGUUCUAGCUUAGAUGACUGGGUGAUAUCAACUGACUUAAAGAAUCCAGGAGGAGGAAAGUUUGGGUGGGGGAAGAUAGAUGAUUGCUAAAGCGUGAUGGUGAAGGAAACUGAAGGUGAUGCCAUCACCCAAGUAGGGUGUACAGAGGGAGAAAUAGGCGACAGUGGAAUCCUGGGGAACACAAACAUUAAAGGGUACGUGGACAAAGAGAUGUCCAUGAAAGAAACUGAGGGGAAAUAAGCUGAAAAAUGCAGAGAGAAUCUAGAGAGUCUGGUGCUAUGGAAUCUUAGGAAUGGAGAGUUUAGGCAAAGUGGAAUAAUGAACAGCAUUAAAUAGUGCAGAGAUAAGUCUGCUAAGUUUUAAAUGUUCCUUGAGUUAGGCAAUUAGAUCUUUUUGUUGUUUUUCAGACUUUUUAUGAUAGAAAAUAUCAAACAUUAAAAAAAAAAGGACAGAACAGACCAAUGAACCCUUAUUUAAUCUGGGUGAAUAAGACCAUUUUGUUGGAGACCCAUUGUGCAAAAUCUCUUACUCAUGCCUCAGUUGUGCUGUUGCCGUAAAUGACCUGGCCGAGGUGAAGGUCUCUUUGGCUGAUUCUUCUUCAUCUUCCUUGACCGUUAAUCAGUGGUGUACCUGGAGCUCCAUUAUCAGACCUCUUUUCUCUCUACACACAUACACGGUUCCAUCGUCUGUCAACUUCCAAUGGUCAGAGGAAGUCAUAUGGCCAAGCCCAAACUAUACUCAGUCUACAGAGGUGGGAGGAGGAAGGGAGGAAAAAUUUCUAAACAAUGGUACAUUACAUUAGUUAAUUUUCUAAUGUUAAACCAGCUUUGCAUUUAUAGAAUAAAGCUGUCUUGAUCUUGAUGUGUUCUUUAUUUUUUACCUUAUUAGAUUUGGCUUG
rnacentral:lncRNA from 1 species